GCGUGUGAGAGGGCUUGGUUGUAAUCUUGGGAGAGACGUCCGGAAGAGCCCCGGUAACUCUGCCACGCCCGUACAGGGGCAGCUUGUCGGAAUUACUGGGCGUAGCGUAGGUUUAAGUCGGUGAAAUCCCGGCUACCUGAAUGCACUGUGCUGAGUAUGAGGUGUGGAACCCGUGUAAGGUAAAUUCGUAAUAUGGAAAACACCAUGCAAGGUCUGUCGUGGGGAGCAAACAGGAUUAGAUACCCUGGUAGUCCACGCCGUAACGAUGUGCUAGUGUUUGCCAUAACGCAUUAAGACGCCUGGGGUCGGUCGCAAGAUAAAAAGGAUGACGGGCGCAAGCGGUGGAUGGGUUAAUUCAACCGAACUCCUUGACGUGCGGUGAUGC
rnacentral:rRNA from 1 species